UACGUAGGGUGCAAGCGUUGUCCGGAAUUAUUGGGCGUAAAGAGCUCGUAGGUGGUUUGUUACGUCUGCUGUGAAAACCUAGGGCUUAACCCUGGGCUUGCAGUGGAUACGGGCAGACUAGAGGUAGGUAGGGGAGAAUGGAAUUCCUGGUGUAGCGGUGAAAUGCGCAGAUAUCAGGAGGAACACCGGUGGCGAAGGCGGGUCUCUGGGCCGAUACUGACGCUGAGAAGCGAAAGCAUGGGGAGCGAACAGG
rnacentral:rRNA from 1 species